GAACGGGUGAGUACACGUGGGUGAUCUGCCCUGCACUUUGGGAUAAGCCUGGGAAACUGGGUCUAAUACCGAAUAGGACCACGCGCUUCAUGGUGUGUGGUGGAAAGCUUUUGCGGUGUGGGAUNGNNNCGCGGCCUAUCAGCUUGUUGGUGGGGUAAUGGCCUACCAAGGCGGCGACGGGUAGCCGGCCUGAGAGGGUGACCGGCCACACUGGGACUGAGAUACGGCCCAGACUCCUACGGGAGGCAGCAGUGGGGAAUAUUGCACAAUGGGCGCAAGCCUGAUGCAGCGACGCCGCGUGAGGGAUGACGGCCUUCGGGUUGUAAACCUCUUUCAAUAGGGACGAAGCGCAAGUGACGGUACCUAUAGAAGAAGCACCGGCCAACUACGUGCCAGCAGCCGCGGUAAUACGUAGGGUGCGAGCGUUGUCCGGAAUUACUGGGCGUAAAGAGCUCGUAGGUGGUUUGUCGCGUUGUUCGUGAAAACUCACAGCUUAACUGUGGGCGUGCGGGCGAUACGGGCAGACUAGAGUACUGCAGGGGAGACUGGAAUUCCUGGUGUAGCGGUGGAAUGCGCAGAUAUCAGGAGGAACACCGGUGGCGAAGGCGGGUCUCUGGGCAGUAACUGACGCUGAGGAGCGAAAGCGUGGGGAGCGAACAGGAUUAGAUACCCUGGUAGUCCACGCCGUANACGGUGGGUACUAGGUGUGGGUUCCUUCCUUGGGAUCCGUGCCGUAGCUAACGCAUUAAGUACCCCGCCUGGGGAGUACGGCCGNCAGGCUAAAACUCAAAGGAAUUGACGGGNNNC
rnacentral:rRNA from 1 species